rnacentral:tRNA from 1 species
CCGGAACUGUGCCCGAGAUAAAAGGGCUACUUUGAUAGAGUACGACACAGGAGUUAAACCUCCUCAUUUCC